UGGUGUAGAGAGGGCACUGCCAGGGCCUCGGUCUGAGCAGCAGUGCGCUCUGUUCCAGGUCUUCCCGGGGCCUCCCAGGACACCUGACCCCAUCCUGCAGCAGCUGCCGGCCGUUGGGUGUGAGGAGGGAACCACAGAUCACAGACUUUUCAGGUCAAGAAUGUGUGGACUCAGAGCUGGUCUGUCGUCUGAUGCCCGGGGCAGACGGCAGGACGGCAGUCUCCCCAUUUGUCUGGCUGUCCAACGUAACCAAUCAAGAUUUGUUUGACAUCAUUGUGGUAAAAGAUGCUAUGUUACAAACGAUUCAUGUGGAUGCAAAAAAUAUUCCUCUCCUUUGCUUGAAUAAAUAUGAUAAGAGUGGAAGGGGAUGCCCUCUGAACAGUUACAUAUUGAACUUCAACAAACACAGCUCCCUGUCGGCGCUGACCAAGGAUAACUGGCAGACCCCAGGUCCUGAGCACAUUUUCCAUGUCCCUGAGACCAGUGGGGACACAUCUACAGAGACUAGGCUGUGAGCCAUUGAGAGCUCUCCACGUGGAAUAAAGCACAUCCGCCAGCGUCACCAGUACGUCUAGAUUUAUUGCCUGCGUGUCCACAUUAGCCUUGCUCGCCUUCCUUAACCGCUGCUUUCUGUGACCUCAUUUGUGUGUCCCCCCUGCGUAUCCUGGGAGCUUAUCCCUUGGGCUCACCCAUCUCUGUCCCUGCUUUUGCUCUUGGCUAGACUGUGGCGUCAAACUAGAUUCUCCUCCAAAUCUGACUCAGUGAGUACUUUUUCUUUGCUGCUCCUAAUUUAGCACAUCUUCAGACACAGAAGGGAACAGCCUUGACUAAUGGCACAAAUCGUAGAGUUACUUCCCAGAUAGGCUUUGAUGCUGAUGUUAAGGAGUGAAGACAGACAAGCAGCAAGGACUCUGCUGACGUUGCCUGGGCAAGUGGCUGGCUAGGCACUAACGCCAAGAACAGCAAUAGCUAGAGAUGUUGCCUUUACCUGAGUGGCUGUCAAAUACACAGCACUCAUGCACACGCGUGUGCACACACAUGCCUGUUUUUCCAUCUAAGUCUCUUACACAGCUCAGCUUGACAAGUAUAUAUCUGGCGGUAUUCUGCUGUUUUAUACCUUUAUUUUCGUUUAAAGGGGACUGAGAUGUUCACUUUGGCUUUACUGCGUUUGUCCAGAGUCUCGAGUGGGGAAGGGGAUGGCCAUGCACCCCGUUUCCCUCAUCUCUCACAGCAUGCUGGGACAGCUGUAAGC